CCUACGGGGGGCAGCAGUGAGGAAUAUUGGUCAAUGGACGAGAGUCUGAACCAGCCAAGUAGCGUGAAGGAUGACUGCCCUAUGGGUUGUAAACUUCUUUUAUAUGGGAAUAAAACGUUCCACGUGUGGGAUUUUGUAUGUACCAUAUGAAUAAGGAUCGGCUAACUCCGUGCCAGCAGCCGCGGUAAUACGGAGGAUCCGAGCGUUAUCCGGAUUUAUUGGGUUUAAAGGGAGCGUAGGUGGAUUGUUAAGUCAGUUGUGAAAGUUUGCGGCUCAACCGUAAAAUUACAGUUGAAACUGGCAGUCUUGAGUACAGUAGAGGUGGGCGGAAUUCGUGGUGUAGCGGUGAAAUGCUUAGAUAUCACGAAGAACUCCGAUUGCGAAGGCAGUUCACUGGACUGCAACUGACACUGAGGCUCGAAAGUGUGGGUAUCAAACAGGAUUAGAUACCCGUGUAGUC
rnacentral:rRNA from 1 species